GCUCUUUGCGAACGUGAACUCGAUCUUCGAGGAAAUAAGAUUCCUGAGAUAGAGAAUUUGGGCGCUACUGAGGGGCGGAUUUCUUUGCUUCAAGGUGAAGUAUCCACAAUCGGAUCUGAUUUGGAGGCACUCAAGGUUUGGGCUUCUGGAUUCUCUGUUGCUUUUUGAAUAGCUAUGCAGGUCACCUAAAUAUCACAAACGUACAUCUCCAAAAUGAGGUCGUGAAGCAGGCUAUUAUGGAUCCAGCUCCUGACCCGCUGAUCCGUGACUCGUGAACAACUCGAUUAGCCCAACACAAGCCCCUUCAACAACUGAUUUACAACAUAUUCAGGUGGCUUUUUUACCGAACAAGAUAUUAAGAGCCUACCAUAUUUACAGGUGAUGGCAACUCCGACAACGAAGAGCUUAAAGUGAUGUCAAAAGAAGUUGAGUAUAGUCAGUUGGCUGAUGUAGCGACAAUAAGUAGUAAGUGCUGGGAACUAUGAAGUGGAAGUAUGCCUACUAAGAAAAUGUUAACAGAUGAUUAUUUAACUCGCAUGAAGAUUGUGAAAGAGAUUCAUGAACACAAUGAAGUUUUGAGUUUUUAUUCAUGCACUUAUUAGUUUAUUUGGGUUAUAUGUUUGGUCAUUAGAUUUAGAUUGACACUUAUUAGACAUUUAGAAUCUUUGUAAGAUUGAUUGAACUUUUAAUUGAAGUGAUUAUUUUAUGAUUUCUACAUUUUAUAAUU
rnacentral:lncRNA from 1 species